rnacentral:rRNA from 1 species
CACAUGGGACCUACCCCACAGUGAGGGAUACCGGCGAGAAAUCGCCGACAAUACCGCAUAGGCUUGUUGCAAGACAAGCAAAGUUGCGCAAGCGACGCUGAGGGAUGGGCCUGUGGCCGAUUAGCUGGUUGGUGGGGUAAUGGCCUACCAAGGCUGCGAUCGGUAGCUGGUCUGAGAGGACGAUCAGCCACACUGGGAUUGAGAACGGCCCAG